rnacentral:tRNA from 1 species
AGCUCUUUGUUUCGGAAACAAGAGGUCUUGAAAACCUCUAAUAGGCGUUCGACCCGCCUAAGGGCUU